GAUCCCACGAUUCAACAGCAUUUAUUGCCAGUGUUAGACAAGGGGUAACAAAAUUAGGAUUUUAAAAAGUAAUCAUAAGAUACCUGGGGGAGCAGCAAAGCUGGGAGCUUGGGGAUUCAUCUUCACACCAACCUAUAGAACCCUGCUCAUACUCUCAGGUCCUGUACCACCAGGCUGUGCUGGGAAGUGGGGAAGCAAAAGUCCCUUUAGUAACAGCAGGACAAAGUAGCAGGGUUUGGGAUUAUCCUUUCUGCAGGGGGAACCCGUGAGCCCGGCUUGCAAACGCCCCAGCUGCCCUCCAUCUCUCACACGUGCAUACAGUUAUCCCAUCAUUCUUCACUUCAUUAGCUGCUGGUGGGAGAGAAAACUCCCUUUGAACCUCUGUGUUUUAUACUGGGUUUAUUUUGAUUCCUGUGACUCCACCAGCCAGGGAUGGCACCGACCAGCAUCUUUGGAGUCGUCCUUCGUCGUCAGAAGAAAACGUUCGGCAAAUACAAGCAGGAAAAUAACUUCUCGGUGGAGCGUUGAGGAAAUUUACUCUAGGAAGGGUAAAGACACUGCACUUUGCCCAUCUUCACUGGGGUUCCUUUCUGGGUGCUCCCUUCUGGCCCUGGCCCCACUACAUGUCUGAAAACCAAACUCCAUCCCUGCCCUCUCAGCACCUUCAGUCCACACCUUUCUGCAGUAAAACACACCAAGGAGAUGUUUCCUUCAGCUUCCAUCUGGUGAACUCAGCUCCUGGCCUGCAACCCUGGAAUGGAUCUGACAGCCCUUAUAAUUUUCAUCCUGUCCAGCUACAGUGACUGUUUUCUAGAAUAUCUCACAUAGCGUGGGGGAAGAGUAAUUCCAUUUAGAUGUUUGUGCUGGGAAUGAAGACAUUAAGAAAUGAGUCCUUUGCCACAAAUCACUCUUCUCCCCUCAGAGAACGAUGGUCAUCACACUGUGUCCGAGCCCUCAUGAUGCGAGAACAGCUCUCCUUCUAUGCUAGGAAUGCACCAGCCUUGUUAAUGUCAGUGAGAAAUGCUUGCAUUAAUAAUCCCAAAUGAUAUACUUGCUGUGCCAAAGCAGAAGGGAUGUUCUUUUGUGCUCAGAAACUUCAGCUGCAUGAGUUACUGUUGCAGAGAGUCUAUCCUUGUCAGCCUUAACGUUAAUUUAUGCUCCUGGGUUGGGCAUUUACAGGAAGUCAGCAGAGUUGGGAGGGGAUGAAUCAGCAGAAGCAGCAUUUUGGAAAGUAACCUCUGAAGCAGGUUUGGAAAUCAGCUUCCCUCGGGUUGUUUUGGACUCAGAAGGAUGUUCUGAUACACCGUGAUAGGAGGAUGGGGUAAAACUGUUCCUCUGGUUUGUGGGACUGGGAGGUUUCUGGUUGGCUUACGUGAUGGAGUGCCAGCAGUGAUGAACAAUAUGCUUGAGGAGCCAAAGUGGCUGCAUUUGCAGUGUAGUGCAUCCAUGAGACUGUGAAUACAGAAGGAAAAAAAUAGGAAGUUUAAAAAACAAAAAAGUAAAAAAAAAAAAAAAAAAGUAGGAUUAUGUAUUGAAUCUGGGCUCACUCAGUCUAUAAGUAGUUUUCUUGUCCUUGAAGUACCUGGUUAGGUACUUCAGCAGUGCAAUAUCUGGGUGUGAUUUGCAUCCUA
rnacentral:lncRNA from 1 species